rnacentral:rRNA from 1 species
CCUACGGGUGGCAGCAGUGGGGGAUAUUGCACAAUGGGGGAAACCCUGAUGCAGCGACGCCGCGUGUGGGAAGACGGUCUUCUGGAUUGUAAACCACUGUCCCCAGGGACGAAAAUGACGGUACCGGGGGAGGAAGCUCCGGCUAACUACGUGCCAGCAGCCGCGGUAAUACGUAGGGAGCAAGCGUUGUCCGGAAUUACGGGGUGUAAAGGGAGCGUAGGAGGGGAUUCAAGGUGGGUGUCAAAACUACCGGCUCAACCGAUAGUCGCACUCAAAACUGCAACUCUUGAGUGAAGUAGAGGCAGGCGGAAUUCCUAGUGUAGCGGUGAAAUGCGUAGAUAUUAGGAGGAACACCAGUGGCGCAGGCGGCCUGCUGGGCUUUUCCUGCCGCUGAGGCUCGAACGUGUGGGGAGCAAACAGGAUUAGCUACCCCAGUAGUC